UCUCUUUCAUGAGACAAUUACUAUGUCAGUAUGUCACACUGCCUGAGAUGGAGUUUACCUGAAUAAGCUUGGAAACCAUCCAGGUCUAUUCAGUAUGUUAGGGGCAGAUAAAACUCCAUAUAUGCCUUAGUUCUGAUUCUCACAGGCUUACUGUCCUAGCAAACUACAAUAGUUCUGGUCUGGGGGUUGUUUCGGGUAGUGAAUGGCUGUUUGAAGUUGUUAAUGAUUUCACAAGAAGUCUCUGG